AGUGAACGCUGGCGGUAGGCCUAACACAUGCAAGUCGAACGGCAGCACAGUAAGAGCUUGCUCUUACGGGUGGCGAGUGGCGGACGGGUGAGGAAUACAUCGGAAUCUACUUUUUCGUGGGGGAUAACGUAGGGAAACUUACGCUAAUACCGCAUACGACCUACGGGUGAAGGCAGGGGAUCUUCGGACCUUGCGCGAUUGAAUGAGCCGAUGUCGGAUUAGCUAGUUGGCGGGGUAAAGGCCCACCAAGGCUACGAUCCGUAGCUGGUCUGAGAGGAUGAUCAGCCACACUGGAACUGAGACACGGUCCAGACUCCUACGGGAGGCAGCAGUGGGGAAUAUUGGACAAUGGGCGCAAGCCUGAUCCAGCCAUACCGCGUGGGUGAAGAAGGCCUUCGGGUUGUAAAGCCCUUUUGUUGGGAAAGAAAAGCAGCAGGUUAAUACCCCGCUGUUCUGACGGUACCCAAAGAAUAAGCACCGGCUAACUUCGUG
rnacentral:rRNA from 1 species